rnacentral:rRNA from 1 species
GAGAUCACAAAACGCCCCGGCGCUGUAGGAUGUGGCUGCGGUUGAUUAGGUAGACGGUGGGGUAACGGCCCACCGUGCCCAUAAUCAGUACAGGUUGUGAGAGCAAGAACCUGGAGACGGAAUCUGAGACAAGAUUCCGGGCCCUACGGGGCGCAGCAGGCGCGAAACCUUUACACUGCACGCACGUGCGAUAAGGGGACUCCGAGUGCGAGGGCAUAUCGUCCUCGCUUUCGUGUACCGUAGGGUGGUACACCAACAAGGGCUGGGCAAGACCGGUGCCAGCCGCCGCGGUAAUACCGGCAGCCCGAGUGAUGGCCGAUCUUAUUGGGCCUAAAGCGUCCGUAGCUGGCUGCGCAAGUCCGUCGGGAAAUCCACUCGCCCAACGAGUGGGCGUCCGACGGAAACUGCACAGCUUGGGACCGGAAGGCUCGAAGGGUACGUUCGGGGUAGGAGCGAAAUCCCAUAAUCCCGCACGGACCACCGAUGGCGAAAGCACUUCGAGAAAACGGAUCCGACAGUGAGGGACGAAAGCCAGGGUCUCCAACCGGAUUAGAUACCCGGGUAGUCCUGGCCGUAAACAAUGUUCGCUAGGUAUGACACAGACUACGCGUCUCUGUUGUGCCGUAGGGAAGCCGAGAAGCGAACCGCCUGGGAAGUACGUCUGCAAGGAUGAAACUUAAAGGAAUUGGCGGGGGGGCACUACAACCGGAGGAGCCUGCGGUUUAAUUGGAUU